GAUGAAGAACGUAGCGAAAUGCGAUACGUAAUGUGAAUUGCAGAAUUCAGUGAAUCAUCGAAUCUUUGAACGCAUAUUGCGCUCUCUGGUAUUCCGGAGAGCAUGCUUGUUUGAGUAUCAGUAAACACCUCAACUUCCAUAUCUUUUUUGAAAUGGGAGUUGGACUUGAGUGAUCCCAACGCUUUUCCUCACCGAAAAGUGGCGGGUUACUUGAAAUGCAGGUGCAGCUGGACUUUUCUCUGAGCUAUAAGCAUAUCUAUUUAGUCUGCCUAAAAAACAGAUUAUUACCUUUGCUGCAGCUAACAUAAAGGAGAUUAGUUCUUGUGCUGACUGAUGCAGGAUUCACAAAGACAGCUUCGGCCGACUUUGUAAACUCGACCUCAAAUCAAGUAAGACUACCCGCUGAACUUAAGCAUAUCAAUAAGCGGAGGA
rnacentral:misc_RNA from 1 species